UGUUGAUCAGAACAGAUUUUUAAUGAGCAAGUUUAUAAAACAUAGGCUACUAUACUACACAUCUGCAUUUAGGAUAUCAAUAAUCAAACAGAUCAUCUCACAAUAUGCAGCUGGUUCUAUACUGCUCCUACAUAGUAUAACAAUACAUCAUGUAUAUAAUGAACAGACUAGGUCUAUACUGCUCCUACAUGGUGUAACAAUACAUCAUGUAUAUAAUGAACAGACUAGGUCUAUACUGCUCCUACAUGGUGUAACGAUACAUCAUGUAGAUGUAUAUAAUGAACAGACUAGGUCUAUACUGCUCCUACAUGGUGUAACAAUACAUUUUGUAGAUGUAUAUAAUGAACAGACUAGGUCUAUACUGCUCCUACAUGGUGUAACAACACAUCAUGUAGAUGUAUAUAAUGAACAGACAAGGUCUAUACUGCUCCUACAUGCUUGCCACAGAUUGCGUGCAAGGAUUCAAAAUCAUCACAGCACAGCUACAUCAUUCCAUACAUCAGAUGGAUGGGGCGGCAGGGUAGCCUAGUGGUUAGAGCAUUGGACUAGUAACCGGGAAGGUUGCAAGUUCAAACCCCCGAACUGACAAGGUACAAAUCAGGUACAGUGAAUUUGUUCUUUAACUGACUUGCCUAGUUAAAUAAAGGUAAAAUAAAAAAAAUAAGAGAACUGACUAAACAUCUCACCAAUUGCUCUGCCAGGUACAAUGGAAAGCUUGUCAAAAAUCUGAAAGAAGCAGAUGAGCAGAAGAAGCCACACCAGAUGGGACACCAAUGUAGAGUUGGGCUGUAUAUUGUGAUUAAACAGUGAAAUAAGACCUGUACAUGUGACGUUGUUUGUUACUUUUUUUUUUUAAA
ensembl:lncRNA